GUGACAUGUUUUACGCCGUAACAAACUACUCCUAGAAAUUUAAUGACAUUUUAUAAUUUUUUUUUUGGUCAGUCUAAUCUAAAGGCCUUUGCGAUGUUAAAUUGUGAACAUCUUGAGGUUUCAUUAAAGGGUGUGGCCAUGGCGCCGUGACAAAGUUCGAUGUCUCGCCAUGGGAAUAGAAGUUGUUGUAACUCAGGCAUAAGAUGUCCGAUCUUCCCCAAACUUCACAUGUUCGAAAAGAGUCUUGGCCUGAACACAUCUGAAGGUAAUUAUUCCACUAUAAUCAUAGCGCCACCUGCUGACAACAGAAAAUGGCUUGUUUUACAUUAACUUAAACAUGCAAUGUCCAAUCUGCACCAAACUUCAGAUAUUUGAUAAGAGCCAAUGUUCAGUUAUAAUCAUAGCGCCACCUGUUGGCAAUAGGACACAACAUGCUUUAUACUAACUCAAACAUUCCAUGUUCAAUCUGCACUAAAUUUCAUAUGCUUGAUAAAAGUGCUGGACUGAAGAAAUCUACAUGACAA
ensembl:lncRNA